rnacentral:lncRNA from 1 species
GUGUAUUUGGUUCCAUGUAAAACUGUGGAAAAAAAAUUUUUUUCACAAAAUUUUUUCGGAAAAUAAAUUUUACGUUAUUAAUGUGUGGUUCGUAGGAAAAGAAAAAUAAUUUUCGGUAAAGGUUGUUUAGUUGAAAGGAAAAGUAAAAAUAAAUAAAAAAGUAUUUAAUGUAUAUUUUUAUUAUAUAUAUUAUUAAUAUAUAAUUAUUCUAUUAUAUAUAAAAAUUAUUAUAUAUUUUUUCUCCAAUUAUAUAUAUUAUAUAUUAUUUAAUAUAUAAUAAUUAUCAUAAUAUAUUUAAUUAUUAUAAUUUAUAUUUAUAAACAAAAUAUAUUUAAAAUAUAUUAUAUAAUAAAUAUAUAAUAUAAU